UCUUGUUUGUCUUCAUCCUUUUUCAAUAAACCCAUUUGGGAUUCAAACGAACAUCGAUGCGAAGGUCGUGCGCCCUGGUUCGAUGGGUUUCCAAGAUUGCAAAGAUCCAACACAUGCUAAGGCGGGAAUCAUUAAUUAUUUCAGGCCCAGAAGAAUUAUCAUUACUCCCAGCAGGUACCAUAGCGGUAUACCACUGCCUUUCGUUUUGUUACAUCUUUAUACUUCUCCCAUAUCAACAAGCGUUCUUUUAAUCAUAACAUGUGAUGUAUCCAGUAACGCGCAAAUUCUAUUGACUUACCUGAAGAAUCCUUUCCACUUCUUGAAUUUUACAU
rnacentral:ribozyme from 12 species